rnacentral:ncRNA from 1 species
GUAAGCCGUGUGCGGGAAAUCCGCAUGCACGGUUUGAACGGGGGUGUUGGCUUCUACUUGCAC